rnacentral:lncRNA from 1 species
CUCCGGCGACUGGAGAGGGCAUUGGCCAGGAGAAGUGAGACGUGGACAAAAGGCGGGACUGGGAAGGGAUCUCUCGCUUCGACCCGCCUCCGACCCGCGGAGUUGCCCCCUGAGGACUACCAGUCCCAGUGUGCACUGCUUCUUCCCCGGCUCUCCCGCGAGCCGACUCGGAGCCGUGUCUCUCGCUUCUACCCGGGGUAGGCGCGCUGCACCCUGGGACUUGCGGUCCUCCGAGGUCGCCAGUGGUUGCUGGGAUCCCACCUCCCCCUUUCCUCGGCGCCCUACAGUCAACCCUGUCUCGGUGGGCUGCGGAGUCCCGGGAAACCCGUCAGCUGUUUAUCUCUCUUCCUCAGAAAGUUGUUUCCCAGAGAGCUGGCUGAAUGAGGCGCACUGUCCCCAUGUCAGUGCUGCUGCGUUAGGGAAUAGUGUUGGAGUAGUCGUCUACCCUCAGGGAAAUUCCAAAACACAGUAACAGCAAAAUGAAUUGAGCCUUUGAAGGCAUUGCGCUAAGGUUUUUACUCGCAAUCAUCUCAUGCACUCUUCUCAACUCUGAUAGAAUCUGCAAUCCAACAUUGGUUUCAUCCUGGAUCCUCUUUGGCAGCCUUGGUAAUGAAGUUAGCUAAAUCAAUACAUGAAAUGAAAGAGGAGAAGACAGACAUAGAAGACUAGGCCACAUGAAGACUAAGGCAGAGAUUGGAUUUAUGCAGCUACAUACAAGGAAAGCCUACAGCCACCAGAAUCUGGAAGAGAUAAGGAAGGAUUUGCCACUAAAGCAUUCAGAAGGUGCACGGCCCUGCUGACAUCUUGAUUUUGGACUUUUUUGGGGACCGGGUAGCCAUUAUCCUUCUUCUUGAUAUCCAGGUUCAACUGAAGGCAUAAAAUGUCAAGUUCCUCAGCUCAAAAUCAAAAUCUCUACUCUGCCACUAUCUUGGUAAUUUAAGCAAAUUAUUCUGCCUCUUUUGGUCUAAGUUUAGUCAUUUGUAAUAUUAAAGUGGUAAAUUAGAUCAGAAGAUCCCAAAAUGACAUUUUGAGAAAUUCUGUUUUGAAGGAUAUGAAUGGGUGUGCCCUAUAACACGCCCCUGACCACAACCAUCAGAGCCAGGGAUGGGGGUGGAUAAAGUUCUGUGUUCAAAUAACUUUGGGAAAUGCUGGGCCAGAUAUAUACUAUGUCGCCUAAUCCCCUGACUACAGCUGAUUUGGACCAGAUGUAGAUACUGACCCAAAUUAGAUUUCAGAGAAUCUCUCUCUCAGGAAUUUUGAAUUGAGAUUCAGAAAUUAUAGUUAGUCUUUCCUAGUUCCUAGAAAUAAGGAUAAAUAAACUCAGGGGCUAUGCACAGAAAAGUAGAGAAAGCUACACUGCAGUCAGGUGAGAAUGGAGAGAUAUGUGGAGAGAAACAAAUAGGAGAUGAGACAGCCUCAGACACAGUGAAAGAUGUGGGAAUUAUGCCAGAUGGAUUUGGGGUUCUUCAGUCUUCAUGAGAUACUUUUAUAACCAUAAAAUGAACUUUCUUUUUUUUUGCCUAAGCUAGUGUAAGUAAAGUUUGGUUACUUGCAUCCAAAAUAGCAUUAACUGAGACAGGAAGAUUAGCCCUUGAUAGCUAACGUCUUAUUGGUCCAUCUAAAAUAUAACAGAGAAAAGAACUGGGAAACACUAGCUGAAGUCCUAGGGUUGAGAGUUAAAGGACCAAGCAGGUAAUAGAAAAGGAGAAAGCAAACUUUACAUACUUCACAAGACCUUCAUCAUUCACAUCUUAACACUGGUUUUGAUAGCGGGAAAUAAAAUUUAGUGCAUAAUCCCUAUUCUCAAGGAUUUAACUACAACAUUGCCAAGUCAAACAAAUUUUUUUCAAAAAAUUUUUUUAUUUUAAUUUUUAUUUUUUGAGAUGGAGUCUCACUAUGUCACCCA